rnacentral:rRNA from 1 species
ACAGUGGACGCGAGCAUCUGUGGCCAAGUUUUUAAGGGCGCACGGUGGAUGCCUUGGCACCAGGAACCGAUGAAGGACGUGGGAGGCCACGAUAGUCCCCGGGGAGUCGUCAACCAGGCUUUGAUCCGGGGGUUUCCGAAUGGGGAAACCCGGCAGUCGUCAUGGGCUGUCACCCUUGCCUGAACACAUAGGGCAAGUGGAGGGAACGCGGGGAAGUGAAACAUCUCAGUACCCGCAGGAAGAGAAAACAACCGUGAUUCCGGGAGUAGUGGCGAGCGAAACCGGAUGAGGCCAAACCGUAUGCGUGUGAGACCCGGCAGGGGUUGCGCAUACGGGGUUGUGGGAUCUCUCUUCUACGGUCUGCCGGCCGUGGGACGAGUCAGAAACCGUUGAUGUAGGCGAAGGACAUGCGAAAGGUCCGGCGUAGAGGGUAAGACCCCCGUAGUCGAAACAUCAGCGGCUCGUUUGAGAGACGCCCAAGUAGCACGGGGCCCGAGAAAUCUCGUGUGAAUCUGGCGGGACCACCCGCUAAGCCUAAAUAUUCCCUGGUGACCGAUAGCGGAUAGUACCGUGAGGGAAUGGUGAAAAGUACCGCGGGAGCGGAGUGAAAUAGUACCUGAAACCGUGUGCCUACAAGCCGUGGGAGCGUCGGAACAAGGCUUGCCUUGUUCUCGUGACUGCGUGCCUUUUGAAGAAUGAGCCUGCGAGUUUGCGGUGUGUUGCGAGGUUAACCCGAGUGGGGAAGCCGUAGCGAAAGCGAGUCCGAAUAGGGCGAUUCAGUAGCACGCUCAAGACCCGAAGCGGAGUGAUCUAGCCAUGGGCAGGUUGAAGCGGAGGUAAGACUUCGUGGAGGACCGAACCCACCAGGGUUGAAAACCUGGGGGAUGACCUGUGGUUAGGGGUGAAAGGCCAAUCAAACUCCGUGAUAGCUGGUUCUCCCCGAAAUGCAUUUAGGUGCAGCGUCGUGUGUUUCUUGCCGGAGGUAGAGCACUGGAUAGGCGAUGGGCCCUACCGGGUUACUGACCUUAGCCAAACUCCGAAUGCCGGUAAGUGAGAGCGCGGCAGUGAGACUGUGGGGGAUAAGCUCCAUGGUCGAGAGGGAAACAGCCCAGAGCAUCGACUAAGGCCCCUAAGCGUACGCUAAGUGGGAAAGGAUGUGGAGUCGCACAGACAACCAGGAGGUUGGCUUAGAAGCAGCCACCCUUGAAAGAGUGCGUAAUAGCUCACUGGUCUAGUGAUUCCGCGCCGACAAUGUAGCGGGGCUCAAGCGUACCGCCGAAGUCGUGUCAUUGCGGUAUAUACCCCCAACGGGGAUCGUGAUGGGUAGGGGAGCGUCGUGUGCCGGGUGAAGCAGCGCCGGAAGGCAGUUGUGGACGGUUCACGAGUGAGAAUGCAGGCAUGAGUAGCGAUUCACACGUGAGAAACGUGUGCGCCGAUUGACUAAGGGUUCCUGGGUCAAGCUGAUCUGCCCAGGGUAAGUCGGGACCUAAGGCGAGGCCGACAGGCGUAGUCGAUGGAUAACCGGUUGAUAUUCCGGUACCCGCUGUGAAGCGUCAAACAUCGAAUCCAGUGAUGCUAAGCCCGUGAAGCCGCCGGCUGAGUCUUCGGACGAGGUCGGAGUGGUGGAGCCGGUGACCCGAGCUGGUAGUAGGUGAGUGAUGGGGUGACGCAGGAAGGUAGUCCAUCCCGGGCGGUGGUUGUCCCGGGGUAAGGGUGUAGGACGUCAGGUAGGUAAAUCCGCCUGGCACAUAGUCUGAGACCUGAUGCCGAGCCGAUUGUGGUGAAGUGGAUGAUCCUAUGCUGUCGAGAAAAGCCUCUAGCGAGUUUCAUGGCGGCCCGUACCCUAAACCGACUCAGGUGGUCAGGUAGAGAAUACCGAGGCGUUCGGGUGAACUAUGGUUAAGGAACUCGGCAAAAUGCCCCCGUAACUUCGGGAGAAGGGGGGCCACGUCUGGUGAGAGCACUUGCUGCUCGAGCUGGGGGUGGCCGCAGAGACCAGCGAGAAGCGACUGUUUACUAAAAACACAGGUCCGUGCGAAGCCGUAAGGCGAUGUAUACGGACUGACGCCUGCCCGGUGCUGGAACGUUAAGGGGACCGGUUAGCUCACUUUCGGGUGGGCGAAGCUGAGAACUUAAGCGCCAGUAAACGGCGGUGGUAACUAUAACCAUCCUAAGGUAGCGAAAUUCCUUGUCGGGUAAGUUCCGACCUGCACGAAUGGCGUAACGACUUCUCGACUGUCUCAACCAUAGGCCCGGUGAAAUUGCACUACGAGUAAAGAUGCUCGUUUCGCGCAGCAGGACGGAAAGACCCCGGGACCUUUACUACAGUUUGAUAUUGGUGUUCGGUUCGGCUUGUGUAGGAUAGCUGGGAGACUUUGAACUCUGGACGCCAGUUCAGGGGGAGUCGUCGUUGAAAUACCAGUCUGGUCGUGCUGGAUGUCUAACCUGGGUCCGUGAUCCGGAUCAGGGACAGUGUCUGAUGGGUAGUUUAACUGGGGCGGUUGCCUCCUAAAGAGUAACGGAGGCGCCCAAAGGUUCCCUCAGCCUGGUUGGCAAUCAGGUGUUGAGUGUAAGUGCACAAGGGAGCUUGACUGUGAGACCGACGGGUCGAGCAGGGACGAAAGUCGGGACUAGUGAUCCGGCGGUGGCUUGUGGAAGCGCCGUCGCUCAACGGAUAAAAGGUACCCCGGGGAUAACAGGCUGAUCUUCCCCAAGAGUCCAUAUCGACGGGAUGGUUUGGCACCUCGAUGUCGGCUCGUCGCAUCCUGGGGCUGGAGUCGGUCCCAAGGGUUGGGCUGUUCGCCCAUUAAAGCGGUACGCGAGCUGGGUUUAGAACGUCGUGAGACAGUUCGGUCCCUAUCCGCUGUGCGCGUAGGAGUCUUGAGAAGGGCUGUCCCUAGUACGAGAGGACCGGGACGGACGAACCUCUGGUGUGCCAGUUGUUCUGCCAAGGGCAUGGCUGGUUGGCUACGUUCGGGAGGGAUAACCGCUGAAAGCAUCUAAGCGGGAAGCCUGCUUCGAGAUGAGGACUCCCACCUCCUAGAGAGGGUAAGGCUCCCAGUAGACGACUGGGUUGAUAGGCCGGAUAUGGAAGCACGGUAACGUGUGGAGUUGACCGGUACUAAUAGGCCGAGGGCUUGUCCUCAGUUG